rnacentral:rRNA from 1 species
UACGUAGGGGGCAAGCGUUGUCCGGAAUCAUUGGGCGUAAAGAGCGUGUAGGCGGCUCGGUAAGUCCGCUGUGAAAGUCCAGGGCUCAACCCUGGAAUGCCGGUGGAAACUGUCGAGCUAGAAUCCGGAAGAGGCGAGUGGAAUUCCUGGUGUGGCGGUGAAAUGCGCAGAUAUCAGGAGGAACACCAGUGGCGAAGGCAGCUCGCUGGGACGGUAUUGACGCUGAGACGCGAAAGCGUGGGGAGCAAACAGG